rnacentral:rRNA from 1 species
GACGAACGCUGGCGGCGUGCUUAACACAUGCAAGUCGAACGGAAAGGCCCUGCUUGCAGGGUACUCGAGUGGCGAACGGGUGAGUAACACGUGGGUGAUCUGCCCUGCACUUCGGGAUAAGCCUGGGAAACUGGGUCUAAUACCGGAUAGGAGCCAUUUUUAGUGUGAUGGUUGGAAAGUUUUUUCGGUGUAGGGUGAGCUCGCGGCCUAUCAGCUUGUUGGUGGGGUAAUGGCCUACCAAGGCGGCGACGGGUAGCCGGCCUGAGAGGGUGGACGGCCACAUUGGGACUGAGAUACGGCCCAGACUCCUACGGGAGGCAGCAGUGGGGAAUAUUGCACAAUGGGCGCAAGCCUGAUGCAGCGACGCCGCGUGGGGGAUGACGGCCUUCGGGUUGUAAACUCCUUUCGCUAGGGACGAAGCUUUUUGGGACGGGACCUAGAUAAGAAGCACCGGCGAACUACGU